GUUUGAUCAUGGCUCAGGACGAACGCUGGCGGCGUGCUUAACACAUGCAAGUCGAACGGUCAGGUCAUGAAGGUUCGCUGGAUUGGCCUGGUAGUGGCGGACGGGUGAGUAACGCGUGAGGACAUGGCUCCAGGAGGGGGAUAACGUUUGGAAACGGACGCUAAGACCCCAUAUGCCGGAAGGUGAAAUUGGGCAACCAGCCUGGAGAGUGACUCGCGUCCUAUCAGCUAGUUGGUGGGGUGAAGGCCUACCAAGGCGAUGACGGGUAGCCGACCUGAGAGGGUGGCCGGCCACACUGGAACUGAGAUACGGUCCAGACUCCUACGGGAGGCAGCAGUGGGGAAUAUUGGGCAAUGGGCGAAAGCCUGACCCAGCGACGCCGCGUGGGGGAAGAAGUCUUUCGGGAUGUAAACCCUUGUUGUACGGGACGAAGGAAGUGACGGUACCGUACGAGGAAGCCCCGGCAAACUACGUGCCAGCAGCCGCGGUAAUACGUAGGGGGCGAGCGUUGUCCGGAAUUACUGGGCGUAAAGCGCACGUAGGCGGGCUGUUAAGUCGGCCGUGAAAGGCACUGGCUCAACCGGUGUUUGUCGGUCGAUACUGGCGGUCUGGAGUAUGGGAGAGGGAACUGGAAUUCCCGGUGUAGCGGUGAAAUGCGUAGAUAUCGGGAGGAACACCAGUGGCGAAGGCGGGUUCCUGGCCCAUUACUGACGCUGAGGUGCGAAAGCCGGGGGAGCGAACGGGAUUAGAUACCCCGGUAGUCCCGGCUGUAAACGAUGGAUGCUAGGUGUGGGGGGGUUCCCCUCUGUGCCGCAGCUAACGCGAUAAGCAUCCCGCCUGGGGAGUACGAUCGCAAGAUUGAAACUUAAAUGAAUUGACG
rnacentral:rRNA from 1 species